rnacentral:misc_RNA from 1 species
CGGGCGUCCUCACAAAUUACCUGCAUUCAGAGAUUCAUACCGGCAUAGGUCGGUAUGCGAAGUCCCUUUUGGGGCCUUAGCUCAGCUGGGAGAGCACCUGCUUUGCAAGCAGGGGGUCGUCGGUUCGAUCCCGACAGGCUCCACCAUAUUGAGUGAAAAGACUUCGGGUCUGUAGCUCAGGUGGUUAGAGCGCACCCCUGAUAAGGGUGAGGUCGGUAGUUCGAGUCUACCCAGACCCACCACUCUGAAUGUAGUGCACACUUAAGAAUUUAUAUGGAUCAGCGUUGAGGCUGAGACAUGUUCUUUUAUAACUUGUGACGUAGCGAGCGUUUGAGAUAUCUAUCUAAACGUGUCGUUGAGGCUAAGGCGGGGACUUCGAGUCCCUAAAUAAUUGAGUCGUAUGUUCGCGUUGGUGGCUUUGUACCCCACACAACACGGCAUGUAGCUCCGAGGCAACUUGGGGUUAUAUGGUCAAGCGAAUAAGCGCACACGGUGGAUGCCUAGGCGGUCAGAGGCGAUGAAGGACGUGGUAGCCUGCGAAAAGUGUCGGGGAGCUG